rnacentral:rRNA from 1 species
GUCUAUGACCAUACUACCCCAAACACACCUGAUCUCAGGCUAUUUCAGAGACUCCGUAGGGUUCAUUCUGUUUAGUACUUGAAUGGGAGACUGAGUGGGAAUACCAAAUGGUGUUGGCU